GUGCUUGACAAACAGCACAGAUACUGAAAUUGGAACAAUACAGAGAAUAUAGCAUGACCCCUGCACAAGGAUGACAAACAAACUCAAGAAGCUUUAGAUUCAGUG